rnacentral:rRNA from 1 species
UACACUCCUACGGGAGGCAGCAGUGGGGAAUUUUGGACAAUGGGCGAAAGCCUGAUCCAGCAAUGCCGCGUGCAGGAUGAAGGCCUUCGGGUUGUAAACUGCUUUUGUACGGAACGAAAAAGCUCCUUCUAAUACAGGGGGCCCAUGACGGUACCGUAAGAAUAAGCACCGGCUAACUACGUGCCAGCAGCCGCGGUAAUACGUAGGGUGCGAGCGUUAAUCGGAAUUACUGGGCGUAAAGCGUGCGCAGGCGGUUAUGUAAGACAGAUGUGAAAUCCCCGGGCUCAACCUGGGAACUGCAUUUGUGACUGCAUGGCUAGAGUACGGUAGAGGGGGAUGGAAUUCCGCGUGUAGCAGUGAAAUGCGUAGAUAUGCGGAGGAACACCGAUGGCGAAGGCAAUCCCCUGGACCUGUACUGACGCUCAUGCACGAAAGCGUGGGGAGCAAACAGGAUUAGAUACCCCUGUAGUCCC